GGCACUGUGGCGGAGUGGUUAACGCGACAGAUUAGAAUCUCUGUGAUUCUCCUUAUUAGUCAUCUGUUCCACUUGUUGGGCGCAUGUUCGAAUCAUGCCAGUGUCG